rnacentral:rRNA from 1 species
AGUGAACGCUGGCGGUAGGCCUAACACAUGCAAGUCGAACGGCAGCACAGUAAGAGCUUGCUCUUACGGGUGGCGAGUGGCGGACGGGUGAGGAAUACAUCGGAAUCUACUUUUUCGUGGGGGAUAACGUAGGGAAACUUACGCUAAUACCGCAUACGGCCUACGGGUGAAAGCAGGGGAUCUUCGGACCUUUCGCGAUUGAAUGAGCCGAUGUCGGAUUAGCUAGUUGGCGGGGUAACGGCCCACCAAGGCGACGAUCCGUAGCUGGUCUGAGAGGAUGAUCGGCCACACUGGAACUGAGACACGGUCCAGACUCCUACGGGAGGCAGCAGUGGGGAAUAUUGGACAAUGGGCGCAAGCCUGAUCCAGCCAUACCGCGUGGGUGAAGAAGGCCUUCGGGUUGUAAAGCCCUUUUGUUGGGAAAGAAAAGCAGCAGGUUAAUACCCCGCUGUUCUGACGGUACCCAAAGAAUAAGCACCGGCUAACUUCGUG